rnacentral:rRNA from 1 species
CCUACGGGAGACUGCAGUGGGGAAUAUUGCACAAUGGGGGGAACCCUGAUGCAGCGACGCCGCGUGAGUGAAGAAGUAUUUCGGUAUGUAAAGCUCUAUCAGCAGGGAAGAAAAUGACGGUACCUGACUCAGAAGCCCCGGCUAACUACGUGCCAGCAGCCGCGGUAAUACGGAGGGGGCAAGCGUUAUCCGGAUUUACUGGGGGUAAAGGGAGCGCAGACGGCUGUGCAAGUCUGGAGUGAAAGGCGGGGGCCCAACCCCCGGACUGCUCUGGAAACUGGAAAGCGUGAGUGCAGGAGAGGUAAGCGGAAUUCCUAGUGUAGCGGUGAAAUGCGUAGAUAGUAGGAGGAACACCAGUGGCGAAGGCGGCUUACUGGACUGCAACUGACGUUGAGGCUCGAAAGCGUGGGGAGCAAACAGGAUUAGAUACCCUUGUAGUC